rnacentral:tRNA from 1 species
CAAGAAAUAGUUUAUUAAAAAUUUUAAUUUUGGAGAUUAAAGAUGAAUGUAUUGUUUUUUCUUGA